GGAUUGACCAGAUUUGCUUGAAGAUAAAACUUUAUUUUGGUUCUUGCACCUGGUUUGCCACCACUGGGAGCUGGGCACCAGGAGCAGCUGUAUUGCCAUUUAUCAGGGAUACUGAACAGACAGGAUGUGAGCCUGAGGCUUUUGGUUACCAGCUUGCCACAUCAUGGGAGGAGCCUGCUUCAUUGAACCAGGCACAGAGGAAAGCAGAUCCAAGAAACAGAAAGCUGCAGUGUACUGAUGAAA